CACGAUAGUGUUUGUCAAUCUCAAGUUGCGUCAUGAUGUGAUUUCGGAGCGUUGGAUUACAGGUGCGUCGCGUAGGAGCCGUCUGUAGGAGAGACCCAUGUAACCAACAGCGUAACACAGAUUGCCGCUGGCUGUGCCUCCCCACUACUCGUCCCGAGGCCACACAACCUAAAGAUCACUUUGGUAUCAAUAAAGAAUCAGCUAUUUCGUGGGAAUAUAAUCGUUCGCGGUAAGUGGCCACAGAGGCUGCGAACAAUGUGGCUUUUUCAAGCGAGGUCUCUCGUCGGGAUUACUCAUCUGAGAAGUACAACAAAAGAUCUCUCUUUCCUUUUCUCCUGCCUGAAAGAGGGAACUGGAAAGUACAAGCCAGCUCUCAUUUCGGCUGCUAUUGUAAGUUUAGAAGAGUCAGUAAUUGGCCCUUUGGGUUCUGAGUCACCGCGGCUCAGUCAUGUUUAUUAUUUAAAAAUAUGAUCUCGGCUAAUUUUAUGUAUAUAUUCUCAAAGUGAGAUUCCCCUCCUGCCCCUCUAACUACCGAUAGAUGGUAUAGUACAGCGACAGACAGGCAGUCCUCACUUCUACCACUCAUGAUUUUUUCCAUUAGGCACGGCCCCUGUGAAAUUAUGUCACCUUCAGCGGACCAAAAAAUAAGAAGGUUAGAGCAUAUGGAAAGAAUGAGCUGUAAUAAAAUAUUAAUUACCAGCACAGCUGUACGAGUCUAAUCCACGUUAUGCCUAAAAUCUGGGAGCAUAAAAUAACCCCCCUCCGAAUCAGACGUUAUUAUGGGCACACGGCUUCAUACACUGUACGGGCCACUUACUCAUACGUCUAUGUAGUCAUAUUGUGUAUUAUAUCAUAGUCCCUCUUAAAUGCAAUGACAGCAGCCACUGUGUGUAAUGCACCAAGCACCACACUUUUUCCCCAUAAGUUGCUCAGAGCUCCUGGUCUAAGGCAGAUGGGAAAGCAGGUGGAGAUAGCAAUUCCGGGGA